UCCCUUGUAGCUCAGUUGGUAAAGAAUCUGCCUGCAGUGCAGAAGAUGCAGGUUUGAUCCCUGGGUGGGGAA
rnacentral:tRNA from 1 species